rnacentral:rRNA from 1 species
AUACGUAGGUGACAAGCGUUAUCCGGAUUUAUUGGGUUUAAAGGGUGCGCAGGCGGCCAUUUAAGUCAGCGGUUAAAUCGUGGGGCUCAACCCCAUUCUGCCGUUGAUACUGGGUGGCUUGAUUGCGGUCGAGGUUGGCGGAAUUCGUUGUGUAGCGGUGAAAUGCAUAGAUAUGACGAAGAACACCGAUUGCGUAGGCAGCUGACCAGAUCGCAAAUGACGCUCAUGCACGAAAGUGCGGGGAUCGAACAGGAUUAGAUACCCUGGUAGUCCGCACAGUAAACGAUGAAUACUUGUUUUCGGCGAUAUAAUGUCGGAGGCAAAGCGAAAGCGAUAAGUAUUCCACCUGGGGAGUACGCCGGCAACGGUGAAACUCAAAUGAAUUGACGGGG